UUCUCACACUCGUCCUGUAUCUCUCUCACUAUCGCAUACAUAUUCAGCUGAGAUGUCACACUGUGUCCGCUGUCAUGGCACUGUCACGACCACCAUCACUAUGCGACACGACACUGGCAGUCUCCCGAGGAUGUCAGCUCCCCCACGUCGUCACAGUCACGUUUGUCAGUGAAGCCUAACGACAGCUUUGUUUCACACUUACACUUUGUGAUCUCUCUCCCUUCUGGAAACAUUUCAAGUUGUUUCGUCAACGAUUAAACUGGGAAACUGUUUUGAGUUUUCAGCAGUCGACGACUUACAUGAUGACGUUGCGAGGGCGCACAAUGACGCAACGUCCGCUGCGCUGGCAUUCGGAAUCGUUGUCCAGCAGACAGAUGCCCACCAUCUGGGAGGCUGACCAUUCCGUGGACGGGAGAUCUGACCGUUACGACGUCAGCAAGAGCCACACUAAUCCGGGCAUUUGGAGCAACAAAGGUGAUAAGUUAGUGAGAACACGCGGUAAAGGCUCUAAAGACAGUGAUGCCGAGCCAGUCUGUACCUGUUCUGGGUUCCUCAACAUCCUUUCAAGGUUUGCAGAACGUACCUCAAUGCAGGGCGUCCCCAACAUCCGGGCCUCUACCUCCAUAGCAGGAAGACUAACAUGGUCGUUUCUCUUCCUCGUCUGCAUGACUCUCCUGUCCGGACACCUGUAUUAUCUGUGUUACUCCUACUACUCCUACCCUAAACACUCCGUCAUAGAGCUCGGCUUCAGCGCCCUCGUCUUCCCCGCCGUCACCUUCUGCAACGUCAACCCGCUCAAGAAGUCGAAGUUGCCGGAAACACCCGAGCGCCUCCGGACGCUGGUCAGCCGCACGGAUCCUGAAGAAAUCGCCAAGAAAAUGGCAGGAGCGUAUGAACACAUUAAUGGCCGUCACAAGCGCAGCAUCCCGCAAAGACAGUUGACCAGACAGCCCGCCAACAUGCCAGCCUCUUACAGUAUUCACGAUGGAGAGCCUGGUCACAGCUCCACACAGAGGCCACAAACAACCAAACAGGGACAUCGUGGACAGUCUAGAACUGUAGGUCGGUGGAAGCGACACAAUUCAGAAAACCGUGGAAAGUUUCAGAAAAGGGAUGGAAGUCUUGUCGGCAACCAGACCAGUGAUGAAAAGAAUGACAACAGAACUGUCAGACAUCUGAUGGACCGUGGCGGCAGGGAGAGAAGUCUGCAUGACGGCAGCAGUGGUCUCCCUUUGAACGGCACCAGACGCAGCAUCGGCACCGUCACCGCCAAAACUCUCUCUGGAAACAAGUGGGCCAGCCAGACGGGCAGCCACACCGUGUUUCCCUUGCUGACACCACCUGCCCCAGCACCAUGGACCUGAAACAACAGCAACCUUCAGUCGAAGGUGAAAGUUCACAGGAAGUUCUGCAUGUAACCCCGCUCGGUGACCGAAAGGCAAACACGACAGAAACUCCACAUGCGCAGAAACAGUCCUCCGGUCGGAAGCACAUCUCCUUUCUCCAUCACCUUGACCUGGGCAUCAACUUUACCAAGGUCAAGACCAUGCAGAAGGUACAGAGGAAGGAGGAGGAGGCCGAUGAAGCAGACGGCCAGUCGGUGAUAAAACAGGCUUUCACGGAGCCCUCCGUCACGGCCAGCAUCAGGGAGGAGUUCAUCCACCUUUACUCCAGCAUGAACAGGUCCACUCGUGCGGCGGUGGUCACCAGCUGGAGGACAUGCUAGUCGACUGUUCCUUCGCUGGAAAGCGAUGUCUUUCUGAGAACUUCACACACUUGUCAUCAUUUGUGUUUGGCAACUGCUUUACUAUAGAUCCUCCUGACUUCAUUGUCACAAGCAGUGGCUAUAGGGGAGGUCUCUCGCUGACUGUGUUCCUGGAGAGCGAUGAGUACCUGCGCGGCA
rnacentral:misc_RNA from 1 species